GUGGGGCUGCAAGUAGAGUUGCUAUGCUGGAAAGGAAAGGUUACUUACGUUUCUGCUUUUCUCUUUUUUUGCUUCUCAAGAUAUCUACUGUAGGUCCUUAUUCAAGAGAAGGAGAGAGGGGAGGGUCUCACUUUUUCGCUCGGUGAGGUUAUAUGGACCCACAUCUCCAGUGGUUAUUAAUCUGCAAAUUGCUCAGAAACCUCAAUUUUCUACUGACUUGUUUGGGAAAUAAUGAAUGAAGACACAAGUCCCUGCGGUUGAGACUGGGCCCCACCCCCUGCCCCCUGAGGAGUGAGAAAGCUGUUAUGUGAUAAGACCCCUUCUGCAAGCGAUAAUUAUGAUGGCUGCUGUGAGUUCCA
rnacentral:lncRNA from 1 species